rnacentral:rRNA from 1 species
AUAGAUUAAGUUAUUAAGGGCGCACGGUGGAUGCCUUGGCACUAGAAGCCGAUGAAGGACGUUACUAACGACGAUAUGCUUUGGGUAGCUGUAAGUAAGCGUUGAUCCAGAGAUUUCCGAAUGGGGGAACCCAACAUGAGUUAUGUCAUGUUAUCGACAUGUGAAUUCAUAGCAUGUCAGAAGGCAGACCCGGAGAACUGAAACAUCUUAGUACCCGGAGGAAGAGAAAGAAAAAUCGAUUCCCUGAG